GCAUAUCAAUAAGCGGAGGAAAAGAAACCAACAGGGAUUGCCUCAGUAACGGCGAGUGAAGCGGCAACAGCUCAAAUUUGAAAUCUGGCUCCUUCGGGGUCCGAAUUGUAAUUUGUAGAGAGUGCUUCGGGCGAGACCUCGGUCUAAGUCCAUUGGAACAUGGUGUCAUAGAGGGUGAGAAUCCCGUAUGCGACCGUGGCUCGAGCCCAUGUGAAGCCUCUUCGACGAGUCGAGUUGUUUGGGAAUGCAGCUCAAAAUGGGUGGUAAAUUUCAUCUAAAGCUAAAUACUGGCUGGAGACCGAUAGCGCACAAGUAGAGUGAUCGAAAGAUGAAAAGCACUUUGGAAAGAGAGUCAAACAGUACGUGAAAUUGUUGAAAGGGAAGCGCUUGCAACCAGACCUGCCCGUAGGCGAUCAGCCGCUGUUCUCAGCGGUGUACUCGCUCUGCGAUCAGGCCAGCAUCGGUUUCGGCGGUCGGAUAAAGACCUUGGGAAUGUAGCUUCCCUUCGGGGAAGUCUUAUAGCCCUCGGUGUAAUGCGGCCAGCCGGGACCGAGGACCGCGCUUCGGCUAGGAUGCUGGCGUAAUGGUUGU
rnacentral:rRNA from 1 species